rnacentral:rRNA from 1 species
ACGGGGCGCAGCAGGCGCGAAAACUUCACAAUGGGCGAAAGCCCGAUGAGCGGAAUUCCUAGUGCUAGCACAUUUGUGUUAGCUUAUUCCUUAGCGUAGAUAACUAGGGGAAUAAGGGCUGGGUAAGACGGGUGCCAGCCGCCGCGGUAAU